rnacentral:rRNA from 1 species
GAUGAACGCUGGCGGCGUGCCUAAUACAUGCAAGUAGAACGCUGAAGCUUGGUGCUUGCACCGAGCGGAUGAGUUGCGAACGGGUGAGUAACGCGUAGGUAACCUGCCUGGUAGCGGGGGAUAACUAUUGGAAACGAUAGCUAAUACCGCAUGACAACAGUUAUUGCAUGAUAACUGUUUAAAAGGGGCAACUGCUCCACUACCAGAUGGACCUGCGUUGUAUUAGCUAGUUGGUGAGGUAACGGCUCACCAAGGCGACGAUACAUAGCCGACCUGAGAGGGUGAUCGGCCACACUGGGACUGAGACACGGCCCAGACUCCUACGGGAGGCAGCAGUAGGGAAUCUUCGGCAAUGGACGGAAGUCUGACCGAGCAACGCCGCGUGAGUGAAGAAGGUUUUCGGAUCGUAAAGCUCUGUUGUAAGAGAAGAACGAGUGUGAGAGUGGAAAGUUCACACUGUGACGGUAUCUUACCAGAAA